UUACUAGUUACUGUGAAUAAAGGCUUCUCUUGAGGAAGUCAUCUGUAGAUACGGUUUUUCUUUACUUUUGGGUUAGGGUUAGGGCCGAUGUAUAUUUAUGCAUGUAGUUGUGAAAGGAGUUAGCCUAAAGAGCAGUGCGGGUGUAGGGAGGCCUGUGGAUAUCGAGACUGUAGAGUGUAUAUGCCAGCAAUAGCGAGCUGUUUCUGAGCUCCUGGAUUGCUUUUAAUCAGCCAUGUGCCCGCACGCUCCCAUUUCUAUUGUCUUAUGCUGGCAUCUGUCAAACACACGUGGCCGCUGGUCUACGUAGGGGCGGGGCGCAGAGAGGAGCUUCCAAGGGAAGGAAGGGGGAAGCUGAAGGCUUCGUUGGAAGAGCUGGGCUGGAGGCGGUCCCACUGGAGAGAAAGGAGGCGGUCCGAGUGUUUCAGGAAAUCUCUCCCCUAGGCGAGGCUAAAGUUGGUGAGAGCACCAAGUUUCUGAGGGAAUCCCAAGAAGUCAAAAUGAGUAUCAAAGCUGUUUGGUUGUCAACUGGACUACAUCUGGAAUGAACUAAACCCAAGCACUGGGCACACCUGUGAGGGAUUUAUUUUUUUCUUAAUUAAACCAUUUGAAGUAGGAAGACCCACUUCUCAUCCAGAUCUUUGAGGUGAGAAGAAACAACUUUAACCUGAGCCACACCUUCUGCUGGCAGCCUGUGUACAGGACAUGGAAGAAGACAGUUUGCUCCCUUUGCCUGCUUGCUCUCUUGAUCUUGCUGGCAAGCUCACUCCUUCACUGACAUUAGAGCCUACUUUGGGAUUUCAGCAUAUACUGAAGACCAGCUGAGGCAUCCAGCCUCAUGAACCGAACAACUACCGGAUUCUUAGACCUUCCAUUGGCAGACAGCCAUUGUUGGACUAGAUGGACCACAGCCUGUAAGCCACUCUAAUAAAUCCCUUCUCUGUAUAAGUAGAUUCAUCCUAUCAGUUCUGUUCCUCUAGAGAACCUUGACUUACACAGGCCUCCAACGUCCUCCCAGGAUGGGUCUGCUUUGGCUCCCUGGAAGAAAGAAGCAUCUUGAACGGGUGACCUGUGAAAUUCAAGAAUGCACCUGAGUAGCCGAAAGAAGCACGAGAGUGGAGGGGGGACAGAGGUGGGAGGACAUUUGGGAAGUGGCCUCUAUUUAUUUACCACCAGAGAAGAUAGCUUUGUAGGUUUAGUGGGGGAUUCUCAGAUCUAAGAAGGCUGAUUCUCUUGCUGUGAAGAGACAUCGUGACCACAGCAACUUUUAUAUAAAAGAAAGCAUUUAAUUGGGGGCUGGUUUACAGUUUCAGAGGUUUAGUCCAUUUUUUUUUUAAGAUUUAGUCUUCUGUCUGCAUGCCAGCAGAGGGCACCAGAUCUCAUUCAAGGUGGUUGUGAGCCACCAUGUGAUUGCCGGGAAUUGAACAGGACCUCUGGAAGAACUGUCAGUGUUCUUAACUGCUGAGCCGUCUCUCCAGUCCUGGCUUAGACCAUUUUUGUCAUGGUGGGAAGCUUGACCCCACUCAGGCAGACAUGGUGCUGGAGAAGUAGCUGAGAGAUCUAUAUCUGGAUACACAGGUAGCAGGAAGAGAGAGUGAGCCGUUAGGCUUUUGAAAAAUCUCAAAGUCCACCCCCAGUGACACAUUUCCUCCAACAAGGCCACACCUCCUAGAUGGGGAAUGUACUUCUUUUGCUACUUCCUGGUGGCCAAACAUUCAGAUGUAUGAACCUCUGGGGGCCAUUCGUACUCAAACCAUCACAAGAGCAGUUCAUCAAAAGAAAAGGAUGAGCUCACCAGUGGUGACAAGAGUGGCCUUCUGUCCUUCCUUUUCUUCUCCAAAUGCUGAGGGAAGUGGGAGGUUAGCUUGCAAAUGUCACAGAAUCCUACAAAAUGCUGACUGACUGUGGAUGCCAGGAAUAACUGGGGUUGCUGGGUUGAGGAGAUCGGCGACACCAUCAUCUGCUAAGAAUCUAUUGUUCUGCAGCUGCCUGGGACACAAUGAUUAGUGCAGCCUCCAGUCUCAUCAGAGAGACUUCUUCUUGUAGAAGACGGCAACUGACUCAUAGCUUGUCAAGGUGCAAAGAGGAAGAGACUUAAGCAUGCUCAAUCCCAGAUGGAACAUUUGUAUCAUGCCUCUCCUCCAAGGCUCAGGGCUCACGGUGGAAUAGGAGUCAGAAAGAUUGUAAAAGCCAGAAGCAGUAGACACUACAAGGAAGCAAUGUUUUCUAAACACAGCAGGGCAGCUGCACACAUGGACUCCCAAGCUUGUGAUGGCAUGCACAAGAACUGUGCGAGCUGAAGUCAGACAAGAUUUCAGCAUGCAGAGGGGAGGCAGGCAUGUUUCCUGUCUCCCACCCCAGGAGCUAUUGGCAAU
ensembl:lncRNA